rnacentral:rRNA from 2 species
CUCUUCUUGAUUAUUUAAGAGAUAAGAGGUAGGCUCUGCUCAGUGAUAUUUUAAAUAGCCGCAGUAUUUUGACUGUGCUAAGGUAGCGUAAUAAUUUGCCUUAUAAUAGAGGGCUAGAAUAAAAGAGUUGACGGUACUUAUGCUUUUCAUUUACAGGAAAGCUUGAAUUUGAUAUCUUCAUAAAAAAGUGAAGUUUUUCUAAAGGGACGAUAAGACCCUAUAAAGCUUUACUAAAAGUUUUUUAAAACAAAGGAAAAAUAAGAGGAGGAUUAGUUAAGCUGGGGCGGUGUCUACAGUUCUGUAGAAAAGAUAACAAAAUGUUUGAGGGUAAGGAUCUUUUAGAGAUUUAGAACAAGCUACUUUAGGGAUAACAGCAUAAUUUUUUUUUAUAGUUCGAAUAGAUAGAAAAGACUUAUGACCUCGAUGUUGAAUUGAGAAGUUUUCUUAAAGUAGAAAUUAAGAGGGGAGGUCUGUUCGACCUGUAGGUUCUC